UGGGGUGUGGCUCAGUGAUAGAGUGCUUUUCUAGCAUGCAGGAGGAGGCCCUAGGUUCAAUCCCCAGCAUACCAA
rnacentral:tRNA from 1 species